rnacentral:rRNA from 1 species
GACAGAGGUGCCAAGCGUUAGGCGGAAUCACUGGGCUUAAAGCGUGUGUAGGCGGAUUUGUAAGUACCUUGUGAAAUCCCAUGGCUCAACCAUGGAACUGCUCGGUAUACUGCGAAUCUUGAGCCACUUAGGGGCUACCGGAACAAAUGGUGGAGCGGUGAAAUGCGUAGAUAUCAUUUGGAACGCCAAUGGUGAAAACAGGUAGCUGGGAGUGUGCUGACGCUGAGACACGAAAGCCAGGGGAGCGAACGGG